GUGUGUGUGUGUGUGACUAAGCACAUAAAUGCAAAACAAGAUGGAAAAAUAGUACUCGAAUACCUAAGGGAGAGUAAUAUGCUUUCAUUAGAGUUGCAAAAGCUUCACGAAACUGUUACUCAAAGUUUCACGUUC